AGAAAGGAAGAAACGAGUUUGUGGGAUCUCUCUCACAAGACAUCGACGAAACAAAGGUGGAGCCUUCUCCGAUCGAGAGUCGCUGUCGUCCCUAUCCCACUACGACAACAUCUCCUCCGUAUGAGCCGCUUGUCGAUUUCGACUCCUCCUCAUCAUCACCAUCGUCCCUGGAAGUGCUAAAUUUGUCCAAUUCCAAGUUGUUAUUACACAUUUUGAACAUAUAUUGUUUGAUUGAGUGUUUAGUUUCGAAAACCCUAAAUUGCAAGUUCAGGUUGAUAUCAGAGUGUCUCCCGGUUCUCAUGCCAAUGAACAUUCGGCUGAAUGAUAAAGAAAGAGUGGUAGCUGCUUAGGAGAAUCCUAAUUUCCGCCAGCUUGUGGAUGAGUGUAUCUACUCCAAUGAGAUGUGAAUCAGAGCAUUUUACUUUACUCUCUUGUACAUAUUUCACAUUUGGGAUUGUAUCGUAUGCCUAGGAGACCGCUCUUUGUCUAUUUUUGCAUUGCUUAUGUCACUUUACAAAUUUUGCCAUCCUUGAACGUUGUAUAUUGCCUUGAUUUGAUAAUGUUACAAACUUUUUUCUUCA